rnacentral:lncRNA from 1 species
CUCCCUCUCUCCCUCCCUUCCUACUAAAAACCAAUAAGGCUAGGGAGCCUAUCUGCAUAGUUCUGUGAAUGUCUCGGAACAAAGCAAUACACAGAAGCUAAUGCUCUCAUCCUGUGUAAGAUACAAAUCUUGUCACAUCAUGGACCAUCGUGGAGCAUGAAGCUAUUUCUAAUGUGAUGGGGGAAAUGUUUCUAGCAGAAGAGCAAGACAUGGUCCUGGUGCAUGAAAGGAGCCUAAGAAAGAAGAGUGAAAGCUGCACGUGUGUGAGUAUCUAGCAGAACAUCUAGAAAAUGCACACCAACCUCCAGCAGCAGAAAACAGUCUACCUCCAGAAAGCCAUAAAAGAGAAAAGAAUGUUGUACCAAACUAAGCAAAUGAAGCAUGAAAUGAAAAGCCGGUUGAGCUGGGAGGUAUAAAGAAUGGAAAGGAAGCAGCUACCACCCCUGGUAACCCCAUCAAUCCGGAGAAGCUUCGCAGAGUUACACUGUGCUCUGUCGGGUAAGAUAUCUUAAAAGCCCACACGCUCCCAAGUUCCUCCUUUGCCCGUGUAUAGUGGUACCUGACACCCUCA